GAUGAAGAACGUAGCGAAAUGCGAUAAGUAAUGUGAAUUGCAGAAUUCAGUGAAUCAUCGAAUCUUUGAACGCACAUUGCGCCCGUCAGUAUUCUGGCGGGCAUGCCUGUUCGAGCGUCAUUACGCCCCUCAAGUCCCCUGUGGACUUGGUGUUGGGGAUCGGCGAGGCUGGUUUUCCAGCACAGCCGUCCCUUAAAUUAAUUGGCGGUCUCGCCGUGGCCCUCCUCUGCGCAGUAGUAAAACACUCGCAACAGGAGCCCGGCGCGGUCCACUGCCGUAAAACCCCCCAACUUUUUAUAGUUGACCUCGAAUCAGGUAGGACUACCCGCUGAACUUAAGCAUAUCAAUAAAGCGGAGGA
rnacentral:misc_RNA from 1 species